rnacentral:rRNA from 1 species
GAUGAACGCUGGCGGCGUGCCUAAUACAUGCAAGUCGAGCGAACAGAUGAGGAGCUUGCUCCUCUGACGUUAGCGGCGGACGGGUGAGUAACACGUGGAUAACCUACCUAUAAGACUGGGAUAACUUCGGGAAACCGGAGCUAAUACCGGAUAAUAUAUUGAACCGCAUGGUUCAAUAGUGAAAGACGGUUUUGCUGUCACUUAUAGAUGGAUCCGCGCCGCAUUAGCUAGUUGGUAAGGUAACGGCUUACCAAGGCAACGAUGCGUAGCCGACCUGAGAGGGUGAUCGGCCACACUGGAACUGAGACACGGUCCAGACUCCUACGGGAGGCAGCAGUAGGGAAUCUUCAGCAAUGGGCGAAAGCCUGACGGAGCAACGCCGCGUGAGUGAUGAAGGUCUUCGGAUCGUAAAACUCUGUUAUUAGGGAAGAACAAAUGUGUAAGUAACUAUGCACGUCUGGACGGUACCUAAGCAGAAAGCCACGGCUAACUACGU